CAUUUCGACCAAAGGAUUUAUUCGCUGAAGGAUGGCCUCGCGUCCGAUUAGGCAGUUGGUGAGGUAACGGCCCACCAAACCUACGAUCGGUAGCCGAACUGAGAGGUUGAUCGGCCACAUUGGGACUGAGACACGGCCCAGACUCCUACGGGAGGCAGCAGUGGGGAAUAUUGGGCAAUGGGCGAAAGCCUGACCCAGCAACGCCGCGUGAAGGAAGACGGUCUUCGGAUUGUAAACUUCUUUGAUUGGGGAAGAACACAAUGACCUACCCAAAGAACAAGUCACGGCUAACUACGUGCCAGCAGCCGCGGUAAUACGUAGGUGACAAGCGUUAUCCGGAUUUACUGGGCGUAAAGGGCGUGUAGGCGGCCUUGCAAGUCAGAAGUGAAAUUCCCGGGCUCAACCCGGGCGCUGCUUCUGAAACUGUAGGGCUUGAGUGCUGGAGGGGAUAGCGGAAUUCCUAGUGGAGCGGUAAAAUGCGUAGAUAUUAGGAAGAACACCGGUGGCGAAGGCGGCUAUCUGGACAGUAACUGACGCUGAGGCGCGAAAGCGUGGGGAGCAAACAGGAUUAGAUACCCUG
rnacentral:rRNA from 1 species